AAGGAGAAACCUGAAAAUCCUAAAUAGAGUAAGGA
rfam:Flavobacterium terrae strain DSM 18829 genome assembly, contig: Ga0131135_101